CAAGCCUCACUCAACAUACUUACUGAGUCAGCUGUUAUUACAAAAGCAUCAGCCCACGCUAGAUGCCCGAGAUGCGGAUUCAGUCCUUCACUAUCCCAAAUGUAGACUUUAGGAUGGGCACUGAAUUCUUUCACCAAGAUUUCGGAUACCUAACAUCAUAUUAGGAGAUAUGAUUAUCAAAUCCAAAAUAAAUCAAUUCAAG
rnacentral:misc_RNA from 1 species